AUGGCGCAAGAGAUAGAGCACACACAGCUCUCCGUCCGUGGCAUCAGCCUACACGUUGCUCAAGUAGGAAAAGAUGAGCUUGGGACGGUGGUGUUCUUGCACGGCUUCCCGGAGAUAUGGUACUCGUGGCGCCACCAGAUGCAGGCCGUGGCCGCCGCAGGGUACCGCGCCAUCGCGCCGGACAGCCGCGGGUACGGCCUGUCGGACCAGCCGCCGGAGCACGAGGAGCCCUCCUGGGAGGACCUCGUCGCCGACGUGCUCGCCAUCCUCGACGCCCUCUCCAUCCCCAAGGCGUUCCUGGUGGGCAAGGACUUCGGCGCCAUGCCGGCGUACGACUUCACGCUGCGGCACCCGGGCCGCACCCGCGGCGUGGCGUGCCUGGGCAUCCCCUUCAGCCCGAUCCCCUUCGACUUCGCCGGCACCAUGCCGGAGGGCUUCUACCCGCUGCGGUGGCGCCAGCCGGGGCGGGCGGAGGCGGACUUCGGGCGGUACGACAUCCGGCGCGUGGUGCGCACCAUCUACGUGCUCUUCUCCGGCAGCGAGGUCCCGGUCGCCGAACAAGGCCAGGAGACCAUGGACCUCGCCGACGGCUCCGCGCCACUGCCGGGGUGGUUCACCGAGGAGGACCUCGACGUGUACGCGGCGCUCUACGAGAACUCCGGCUUCGGGUUCCCGAUCCGCAUGCCGUACGGGUCCCUGGACAAGAUGGCGACCCAGCUGGACGCCAGGUUCGAGGUGCCGGUGCUGAUGGUGAUGGGGGAGAACGACUACGUGAUGAAGCUGCCGGGGUUCGAGGCCGCCGUGAUGGGCGGCAUGAUGGCCGGCUUCGCGCCUGACCUCAAGGUCGCCUUCGUCCCGGAGGGCAGCCAUUUCGUGCAGGAGCAGUUCCCGGCGCAGGUUAACGAGCUCCUCCUUGCUUCUUGA
rnacentral:rRNA from 1 species